UCGUAACAAGGUUUCCGUAGGUGAACCUGCGGAAGGAUCAUUACUGAGUGAGGGUCCCUCGGGGCCCAACCUCCCACCCGUGUAUACCGUACCUUGUUGCUUCGGCGGGCCCGCCGCGCAAGCGGCCGCCGGGGGGGCGUCAAACCCCCCUCCCUAGGCGAGCGCCCGCCGGAGACACCAACGUGAACACUGUCUGAAGUUUUGUUGUCUGAGUUCGAUUGUAUCGCAAUCAGUUAAAACUUUCAACAAUGGAUCUCUUGGUUCCGGCAUCGAUGAAGAACGCAGCGAAAUGCGAUAAUUAAUGUGAAUUGCAGAAUUCAGUGAAUCAUCGAGUCUUUGAACGCACAUUGCACCCCCUGGUAUUCCGGGGGGUAUGCCUGUCCGAGCGUCAUUGCUGCCCUCAAGCACGGCUUGUGUGUUGGGUCGUCGUCCCCCCCGGGGACGGGCCCGAAAGGCAGCGGCGGCACCGCGUCCGGUCCUCGAGCGUAUGGGGCUUUGUCACCCGCUCUUGUAGGCCCGGCCGGCGCUGGCCGACGCUGAAAAGCAACCAACUAUUUCUCCAGGUUGACCUCGGAUCAGGUAGGGA
rnacentral:rRNA from 1 species